UACGGGGGGAGCAAGCGUUGUUCGGAUUUACUGGGCGUAAAGGGCGCGUAGGCGGCCACCGCAAGUCGACUGUGAAAUCUCCGGGCUUAACUCGGAAAGGUCAGCCGAUACUGCGGGGCUAGAGUGCAGAAGGGGCAACUGGAAUUCUCGGUGUAGCGGUGAAAUGCGCAGAUAUCAGGAGGAACACCGGUGGCGAAGGCGGAUCUCUGGGCCAUUACUGACGCUGAGGAGCGAAAGCGUGGGGAGCGAACAGG
rnacentral:rRNA from 1 species